rnacentral:rRNA from 1 species
GUGGGGAAUAUUGGACAAUGGGCGAAAGCCUGAUCCAGCCAUGCCGCGUGAGUGAUGAAGGCCCUAGGGUUGUAAAGCUCUUUCACCGGGGAAGAUAAUGACGGUACCCGGAGAAGAAGCCCCGGCUAACUUCGUGCCAGCAGCCGCGGUAAUACGAAGGGGGCUAGCGUUGUUCGGAAUUACUGGGCGUAAAGCGCACGUAGGCGGACUAUUAAGUCAGGGGUGAAAUCCCGGGGCUCAACCCCGGAACUGCUUUUGAUACUGGUAGUCUAGAGUUCGAGAGAGGUGAGUGAAAUUCCGAGUGUAGGGGUGAAAUUCGUAGAUAUUCGGAAGAACACCAGUGGCGAAGGCGACUCACUGGCCCAAUACUGACGCUGAGGCGCGAAAGCGUGGGGAGCAAACAGGAUUAGAAACCCCUGUAGUCC